CAGGAUGUGGCCCAGAAGGUAAUUGACAGCAUGCCAUCAGUCAGGAUGUGGCCCAGAAGUUAAUUGACAGCAUGCCAUCAGUCAGGAUGUGGCCCAGAAGGUAAUUGACAGCAUGCCAUCAGUCAGGAUGUGGCCCAGAAGUUAAUUGACAGCAUGCCAUCAGUCAGGAUGUGGCCCAGAAGUUAAUUGACAGCAUGCCAUCAGUCAGGAUGUGGCCCAGAAGUUAAUUGACAGCAUGCCAUCAGUCAGGAUGUGGCCCAGAAGGUAAUUGACAGCAUGCCAUCAGUCAGGAUGUGGCCCAGAAGUUAAUUGACAGCAUGCCAUCAGUCAGGAUGUGGCCCAGAAGUUAAUUGACAGCAUGCCAUCAGUCAGGAUGUGGCCCAGAAGUUAAUUGACAGCAUGCCAUCAGUCAGGAUGUGGCCCAGAAGUUAAUUGACAGCAUGCCAUCAGUCAGGAUGUGGCCCAGAAGUUAAUUGACAGCAUGCCAUCAGUCAGGAUGUGGCCCAGAAGUUAAUUGACAGCAUGCCAUCAGUCAGGAUGUGGCCCAGAAGGUAAUUGACAGCAUGCCAUCAGUCAGGAUGUGGCCCAGAAGUUAAUUGACAGCAUGCCAUCAGUCAGGAUGUGGCCCAGAAGGUAAUUGACAGCAUGCCAUCAGUCAGGAUGUGGCCCAGAAGUUAAUUGACAGCAUGCCAUCAGUCAGGAUGUGGCCCAGAAGUUAAUUGACAGCAUGCCAUCAGUCAGGAUGUGGCCCAGAAGUUAAUUGACAGCAUGCCAUCAGUCAGGAUGUGGCCCAGAAGUUAAUUGACAGCAUGCCAUCAGUCAGGAUGUGGCCCAGAAGUUAAUUGACAGCAUGCCAUCAGUCAGGAUGUGGCC